rnacentral:RNase_P_RNA from 1 species
GUGGGUGGAAGCUCAUCAUAGGGGUCACAUGCAGGGUGCGGUCACUCAACCAAUCACCUUGGGGAAGGUCUGAGACAAGAGCCAAUCAUGCCCUAGCAGGGUAUCACCUGAUCUGGUUGAGGUGCACAGAGAAUAGAGCCAUGUGAGUUGUCUUACGGGAGAAACCAGCCGGUGCAGCCUCCAGCACUACUGGUGGAUGUGACCUCACGGUUUGGAACACUCAUGGCUGGCAUAUGAGUGCAAUGGGUGAGUUGGAGUACACCUCCAGAACCCAAUUGAGACUACCUCUGCCCAC